rnacentral:lncRNA from 1 species
UGGAAGGGAUGUGGUCUUGACUUUGCACUUGACAGGAUAUACUACCUAAUUAAAUCUGCGACAGACACGGGAGUCAGUUACAAGCUCCAGGAAUACAGCCUGACCACACAAAUAGACAGCUUCAGUAACAGUCCUCCCAUCUGACCAGGGACGGGGACAUAGGUGUAUGCACAGGUGUGUCCACAAAUCAUCUGUAACAGUGACAGUCUGGAGACAAUUUCAACGCUCACUCAGUGGGGAGCUUUUGUGAAUUCCGCUACACCUGGUCAUGGCAUUGCUACAAGUGAGGCAUGUAAAGAGUUAACAGCGGGACGAGAGGCACCUGGUGUACACACCAUGAAUUGAGAAUGUGUCACACAGCCCUGUGCAUGCAGGGCAGGCAGCACCGGGAGGAAGGCAAUGAAGAGUAAUAGGCUAAGAGUCACCACUGCCCCACAUCAGGAUGCCGAGGUGACCGUGGUAGGUGGGGAAGCUGGCCAUGCUGUGUAUAGCACGCUUGGGCCUUGCUCUGCCCCAGUUCUGUGAGUUCAUCUGUGUUUAGUGACCUGAACCCUUUACACUGACGCUGUGUGGGGAUAUUUGAACUACAAUGUAACGGAAAUGUAACUAGGCCAUGUCAAGGCCGCACAGCCGACAAGAACGGGCGGGUGGGUUUUCCAGGACUGGCGUCCUACCAUCUAGCUCAUCUAUUAUGAUACACUUUAUAUAGACAAAAUAAAAAUGUAGCAUUUUAGAAAUGGCAGGGUCUUUCCUUCAAAAACCUCCAGUCUGUUCUGAAGAAGGGUCGUUGAACAGAGAGAUGUUUCCUGAGUGGAAACCGCGCUACCCUCGGCUGGGGUGUGGGAGUAGCUCAGGGGCAGAGCGCUUGUCUCGGUACACGAGUCCUUGGGCUCUACACCUAGCAUGACAAGAAUUAAAGAAAUCAAAUUCCGGUGCCU